CAGUAGCCGCGGUAAUACGUAGGGUGCGAGCGUUAAUCGGAAUUACUGGGCGUAAAGCGUGCGCAGGCGGUUUUGUAAGACAGGCGUGAAAUCCCCGGGCUCAACCUGGGAAUGGCGCUUGUGACUGCAAAGCUAGAGUGCGGCAGAGGGGGAUGGAAUUCCGCGUGUAGCAGUGAAAUGCGUAGAUAUGCGGAGGAACACCGAUGGCGAAGGCAAUCCCCUGGGCCUGCACUGACGCUCAUGCACGAAAGCGUGGGGAGCAAACAGGAUUAGAUACCCGUGUAGUCCCUGUCUCUUAUAC
rnacentral:rRNA from 1 species